GAAAUGUUACGUAAGAAUCGAUGGUGAAAUUUAUCACUACGACUGGAUGCCAGGAGACGAUUGUUCACACCAAUUCUUCAUCUUUUUCCUUUUUUUUUCGUGUCCUAACGUAAAAUAUUCAUUUUUUCAGGCAACAACGACGAGAUAGCGACGAUGAAUUUUUUAAAGCAGCAGUGGGGGGCGGUGGUCGCCCGGGAUUUAUUAAGAAGGCGUCGGAAAAAGUCAUCAGCAAAACGGCUCCAAUUUCCAAAGCCUGAUAAUCCGCCAGCCGCCUCAUGAACCAUGCCCAUCACAUGGCCGCAAUUCAAUUCAACAGAAUGGAGUGUUACCGUCAGUUGGGGACAGUUUUGAACUUUGAACUUUUGUUUGAGUGUGAAAUAAUAAAUUGUU